rnacentral:rRNA from 1 species
CCUACGGGUGGCAGCAGUGGGGAAUAUUGGUCAAUGGGCGCUAGCCUGAACCAGCAAAGUCGCGUGAAGGAUGACUGCCCUAUGGUUUUUAAACUUCUUUUAUAUGUGAAUAAAGUACAGUAUGUAAACUGCUUUUCAUGUACCUUCUUACUAAGGAUCGGCUAACUCCGUUCCAGCAGCCGCGGUAAUACGGAGGAUCCGAGCGUUAUCCGGAUUUAUUGGGUUUAAAGGGAGCGUAGGCGGGUUGUUAAGUCAGUUGUGAAAGUUUGCGGCUCAACCGUAAAAUUGCAGUUGAUACUGGCAUCCUUGAGUACAGUAGAGGUAGGCGGAAUGCGUGGUGUAGCGGUGAAAUGCGUAGAUAUCACGAAGAACUCCGAUUGCGAAGGCAGCCUGCUGGACGGUAACUGACGCUGAUGCUCGAAAGUGUGGGUAUCAAACAGGAUUAGAUACCCUGGUAGUC